ACGAUGACGAGCAGAAGGAUGCCCAUGAGUUCCUCGUUUGUGUUCUGGACAUAAUGAGGUCUGUGUCAUCAGAGGUUGAGCUGACAGCUGUAAACUCUGGCCUGACCUACACGUGCCCAGUCCGUGAACAUAUUACACUUCAGAUGUUAAACGUCAGAACCUGCAGGGGUUGUGGUGAGCAGUCCUAUAGAGUGGAGGACUUUGUUAACCUCACUCUGGAGCUGGUACCAGGGGGAUCGGUGGGCCAGUGUCUGCAGGAGUAUUUCAAGGGGGACCAGAUAGAUUACACGUGCCACUGUGGAGCGCAGCAGUCAUCCCUGCAGAGCUCAUUCUCCACCCUGCCAAAAAUACGACAGGUCGUUAUUCUCUGGUGAGCAAAUGUUUGCCCUUUGCUCUCAGGUCAUCACAUCUGUGAGAGUAUCCAAAGAGGGCUGGAUAUGGGGGAUUCAGCAAACUCUUGGCUAACAGAUGAUGAUGAACAUGUCAGCCAAACAACAGGAGAAGUUGUCUGCUGCCGUAGACUAAGAAACGCUUUCCUAGUCUUCUAUGAAAACCAGGGUGCUCCUCUCGACUUACGCGGCAGAGAAGGUCGAACAACGGCUUCCUUGGACCCACGCGUCACACUGCAGGAAGGUGCCGCCACCGCCAGUGGCCGACAAAUCGCAGGACAAGAAAGAUCACACGCCAGGAUCGUCGCCAUCCACCUGAGCCACAAAGCUGGCUGUGAGGACAGCGGCCCACCACAAGUUGUUUUUUUGCAGGAAGAGGUGGGUGAAGAGCACUGCUCCGACGGAAUCACAAUAACAUUCCGGGCAGUGAUUUGAGUUGCUUGUCUCCAGAGAGAGAGACAACAGAGUUUGAAACAGCUGAUCUGUGGAGCACAACAAGAAUCAGCCUGUUUGCUCAUUGCUUAUGCUCCCUUCAUGUCAGAAAACUGACUGAUUAAAAAAAGAAAAAGGGGAGAGAAGAGGAGGCAAGAGGAAGACGAAGCAUUUAUUCAUUUAAUCCCUUAAUCCCUUUGGUUAGACGACGGUUAACCUCCGCAGUAUCUGGUAGCUUCUUUACGGGUCAAACGGAUACAGAGACUGGUGUUUUCCCCGGGAAACAUGCCCACAGAUGUUGAAAUUCCUGAUCUGAGAGACGAUGAUGAUUGUAAUGUUAAUGAUACAACCUGUUAACAUGGAUUUCCUUUUUCCUUCUUGGUGACUGUUCCUUGUAAUGCUUUUGAAAAUGUUCCUGUAGGUUUGAUGAUAUUGAUUUGUUUGAUGAUAUUGAUUUGUUUGAUUUUCCAUUUUACAGUAGUAUUGUCAGAUUGUUUUUUUUCCCCCCGUUACGUUUUCUUUUUUAUUAUCAAUUUAGAUUUAGUUGUAUUAGUUUAGUUUUGCUUAAGCAAUGUUUUAAUUGAUAUUUGGAGUUUCAAAUGUUUUUCCUGACAUGAUUCUUUUUUGUUCUCACUGCUUGAUGAAAGAAAUGGAGUUUUCUUAUACCAAAGAUCACUGAUUUAUGCAAUUUUUGUUUAUUACAGAAGGACAGACCUGGGAUCUGAUUGGCUCUAUAGAUCCUUUAAUAUUAGCUGGUAAUGGUAACUCCUAGAUUCAACACGGGGUUUUCUGGCUCAGAUUGGCCGAGAGCAGAUCUCCCUGGGGGUCUCACCAGUUUUUACUACUCUUGUGGGUAGCUUUUUCUGGUUGUUUUCCCACCCACACUGAACCUCUCCUGCUUUUGCUCCUGGUUUGGUAAAUCUGAGGAUGGUGGAUGGUUAUCCAUCGAAGUGGUGAGUGGAGGAUCGAGUAGGAGGGUUUUCAGGGUGGGGAGAGGGUAGACGGAUUCGACCUUAAUUAGCAUACAGGCUUAGCUUAAGUAGUCUAAUAUACUAAAAUAAUCUGUGCAUAGGGACCUAAAACAGGCCUUACUUAAUUAGUUGAACCCUAAAUUGUAGGCGAAUGCUAAACCUUUGAUCUUGUGUGUUAAAACUCCAUGAAGCAUUCAAGCUGAUCUUUUUUAAAAGUUCCAGCACACAUGAUUUGUAACUGUUAUGAGUCCUUGGUGUUGUAUUUGCAUAUUCCUGUAAUGAGUUAUCUUGUUUUUCA